GGGGAAUAUUGCGCAAUGGGGGAAACCCUGACGCAGCAACGCCGCGUGAAGGAAGAAGGCCUUCGGGUUGUAAACUUCUUUGAUCGGGGACGAAAAUGACGGUACCCGAGGAACAAGCCACGGCUAACUACGUGCCAGCAGCCGCGGUAAUACGUAGGUGGCAAGCGUUGUCCGGAAUUACUGGGCGUAAAGGGCGUGUAGGCGGGAUGGCAAGUCAGAUGUGAAAGCCCGGGGCUUAACUCCGGAACUGCAUCUGAAACUGCUGUUCUUGAGUGCUGGAGAGGAAAGUGGAAUUCCCAGUGUAGCGGUGAAAUGCGUAGAGAUUGGGAGGAACACCAGUGGCGAAGGCGGCUUUCUGGACAGUAACUGACGCUGAGGCGCGAAAGCGUGGGGAGCAAAC
rnacentral:rRNA from 1 species